GACGUAGGGGGCGAGCGUUAUCCGGAUUCACUGGGCGUAAAGGGCGCGUAGGCGGUUACGUAAGUCCGAUGUGAAAAGUCACGGCUCAACCGUGAUCGUGCAUCGGAUACUUCGUUGACUUGAGGUCGGUAGAGGCAAGUGGAACUAGCGGUGUAGCGGUGAAAUGCGCAGAUAUCGCUAGGAACGCCGGUGGCGAAGGCGACUUGCUGGGCCGUACCUGACGCUGAGGCGCGAAAGCUAGGGGAGCGAACCGG
rnacentral:rRNA from 1 species